rnacentral:rRNA from 1 species
AGAGUUUGAUCAUGGCUCAGGACGAACGCUGGCGGCGUGCCUAAUACAUGCAAGUCGAGCGAGCUUGCCUAGAUGAUUUUGGUGCUUGCACUAAAUGAAACUAGAUACAAGCGAGCGGCGGACGGGUGAGUAACACGUGGGUAACCUGCCCAAGAGACUGGGAUAACACCUGGAAACAGAUGCUAAUACCGGAUAACAACACUAGACGCAUGUCUAGAGUUUGAAAGAUGGUUCUGCUAUCACUCUUGGAUGGACCUGCGGUGCAUUAGCUAGUUGGUAAGGUAACGGCUUACCAAGGCAAUGAUGCAUAGCCGAGUUGAGAGACUGAUCGGCCACAUUGGGACUGAGACACGGCCCAAACUCCUACGGGAGGCAGCAGUAGGGAAUCUUCCACAAUGGACGAAAGUCUGAUGGAGCAACGCCGCGUGAGUGAAGAAGGGUUUCGGCUCGUAAAGCUCUGUUGGUAGUGAAGAAAGAUAGAGGUAGUAACUGGCCUUUAUUUGACGGUAAUUACUUAGAAAGUCACGGCUAACUACGUGCCAGCAGCCGCGGUAAUACGUAGGUGGCAAGCGUUGUCCGGAUUUAUUGGGCGUAAAGCGAGUGCAGGCGGUCCAAUAAGUCUGAUGUGAAAGCCUUCGGCUCAACCGGAGAAUUGCAUCAGAAACUGUUGAACUUGAGUGCAGAAGAGGAGAGUGGAACUCCAUGUGUAGCGGUGGAAUGCGUAGAUAUAUGGAAGAACACCAGUGGCGAAGGCGGCUCUCUGGUCUGCAACUGACGCUGAGGCUCGAAAGCAUGGGUAGCGAACAGGAUUAGAUACCCUGGUAGUCCAUGCCGUAAACGAUGAGUGCUAAGUGUUGGGAGGUUUCCGCCUCUCAGUGCUGCAGCU